rnacentral:rRNA from 1 species
GUGCAGCAGGCGCGAAACCUCCGCAAUGCGGGAAACCGUGACGGGGUCACCCCGAGUGCCACCCGAUGAGGGUGGCUUUUCCCCGGUCUAAAAAGCCGGGGGCAAUAAGCGGGGGGCAAGUCUGGUGUCAGCCGCCGCGGUAAUACCAGCCCCGCGAGUGGUCGGGACGUUUAUUGGGCCUAAAGCGUCCGUAGCCGGCUCGGUAAGUCCCUCCUUAAAUCCACGGGCUCAACCCGUGGGCUGGGAGGGAUACUGCCGGGCUAGGGGGCGGGAGAGGCCGAGGGUACUCCCGGGGUAGGGGCGAAAUCCGUUAAUCCCGGGAGGACCACCAGUGGCGAAGGCGCUCGGCUGGAACGCGCCCGACGGUGAGGGACGAAAGCUGGGGGAGCAAAGGGGAUUAGAUACCCCUGUAGU